CUUCCCGAUAAUGUCUGGCUCCAACAAUGUUGGCACCCGUAUCGCGAAAAAUUAGUGAAUGAAUUGACUUAAUUUCAUUGGAGCCAGAAGUAAGCAGUCAUUUCCAGUGGGUGACAUCACACUCACUCAGUCCAGAUCUCUUAUACAGUCUUCUUAUUUACUGGGGAUUUCUCUUUUGAGGUGUACAGCGUGGCAGAUACAAGAAAGUUUCAACUCUUUGUCAAAACACAAAUUAGAAGAUCUCACCUGCCAGGAAAGGAGUGUGGGAGCGGAGAGGUCUGGGAGAUCACGACCUUAAUUCUCCCCAAGACAGAGGGUUUAAUUAAGACUGAAGGAUUCCUCACUGACUCCAGACCUCUACAAUGAGACUAUAAUAGGGACAUGGAUUGCACAGGCCGCAGUCAUUGUGUUCCACGUUGCACGAAGACCACCUCACAGGGAUUUUCCUCUUCACCAGGUAGCCACAAAGAGGAAAAGAAGCGUAUUAUCCACAUGUACGGCAUCCGACCCCUCUGUACCACAUUAUGCUGACCACCAGCACUGCAGGAAACGCACGUCCACACAGACACACACGCACGCCAAACAGCGUAUUAUCUUUAUGAGGUGUUACACACCAGUGACCACCAACACAGGGUCUCAGUGUUCUCUAAUCCACACUCCGUCUGAAAAGACUGCUCCGUGCAACAGAGGGAUUACAAUGUCGGAUUAAUGGGAGUUUUAAUUUGAGUCAUUAUAAGAGUCUUUGCUUAUAAGAAGAAGUGAGGAAAGAUGUUUACAUUCUUUGUAUAUAUUUUUUUAUAUAUUUAUUUUUUUCAUUUGAUACAAAUGUACUCUCUACUGUCGGUUUAACCAUUAAAAGAAAUGUGUCAACAGUGUAUUAGUCAUUGUAUUGGCUUUAAUGUACACACUGAUACCUCUGAUACAGUGUUUUUCAACCAGUCUGCUGAGAUGGGAAUUAUUUCAUUUCACCUUAUUGGUCUAAGAAACAUUUACCAUUUCCACCAUCAGUUCUGUAUUCAUUCAAACAGGUUCAGGUUUUACUCUGAGUAUUUAGGCAUAUAAAAGAUCACAAAAUACUUUUUACUUUGCAUUUAAUUCUUAUUUAGGGUGUUUUACUAGUAUGGAAUAAGUUUAUUUUAUUCAUGUUAAUUAAUGCUUUAUUAUGCAUUAACUUACAAAAUGAAAA